GAUGAACGCUGACAGAAUGCUUAACACAUGCAAGUCAACUUGAAUUUGGGUUUUUAACUUAGGUUUGGGUGGCGGACGGGUGAGUAACGCGUAAAGAACUUGCCUCACAGCUAGGGACAACAUUUGGAAACGAAUGCUAAUACCUAAUAUUAUGAUAAUAGGGCAUCCUAUAAUUAUGAAAGCUAUAAGCGCUGUGAGAGAGCUUUGCGUCCCAUUAGCUAGUUGGAGAGGUAACGGCUCACCAAGGCGAUGAUGGGUAGCCGGCCUGAGAGGAUGAUCGGCCACAAGGGGACUGAGACACGGCCCUUACUCCUACGGGAGGCAGCAGUGGGGAAUAUUGGACAAUGGACCAAGAGUCUGAUCCAGCAAUUCUGUGUGCACGAUGAAGUUUUUCGGAAUGUAAAGUGCUUUCAGUUGGGAAGAAAGAAAUGACGGUACCAACAGAAGAAGUGACGGCUAAAUACGUGCCAGCAGCCGCGGUAAUACGUAUGUCACGAGCGUUAUCCGGAUUUAUUGGGCGUAAAGCGCGUCUAGGUGGUUAUGUAAGUCUGAUGUGAAAAUGCAGGGCUCAACUCUGUAUUGCGUUGGAAACUGUAUAACUAGAGUACUGGAGAGGUAAGCGGAACUACAAGUGUAGAGGUGAAAUUCGUAGAUAUUUGUAGGAAUGCCGAUGGGGAAGCCAGCUUACUGGACAGAUACUGACGCUGAAGCGCGAAAGCGUGGGUAGCAAACAGG
rnacentral:rRNA from 1 species